CGUAUUAUUUAUAGCUUUUUAUUGAAAAUCUUCUUCAAGAUUUUCUUUAAUUCUUUUACUUUCAACGUCAAAAUAAAAGAAAAUCCUAUAAAUCACUAAUUAAUCAUUACUCGAUAUUCUACGACGCUGAUUUCGAAAAGUAUGCCAGAUUCACAAAAGAGCAAAGGAUGAGAAAGCCUCGAUCCUGGCACCCACCGGUGCUUGUCACGGCUAGUUUGUUCCAAAACGUGUUAUUACCCCAUAACGAUGCCAAUAAAUAACGAAAGGCACGAAAGGCUUGGCCCCGCGAUUCGACACGCUCGCUUUCGACCGGCGAUAAAGGGUUUGCGCGAGCUCCCGUUCGAAUCAGCGAGACGAAUCCGCGCACCGCCUCAUAAAUGUUCCACAUAACGUUCAACGUUCAUCUCUCUACCUUCUACGAACAUUCUGUAUCACGAUCGCCCACGGGAAAGUACACUUUUCCCAUAAAAAUCUUCUCAAUUAUUAAAAUCUAUUAACUAUUAUAUAAUAUUAUAUAAAAUUAUUUGAUAUAUUAUAUUAAAACACGAAAAUAACGUAAUGUGUAAUAUUUGUAUCUAUAUAGAGAACUUUGUUCUAAAUUUGGAAACCUUCGCGAGCACGUGUAUACAGAUUCUCCUGUUAACGUUUAACUUCACCUACGAAAAAUUUUCCAAAUUUUAAUUUCUGCAAAUCUUCUUUUCCUGGAUUGAUAGCUUUCAUUAUUAAAUGUUCAUCUUUGUGAAAAAAAUAUUUCUUUUUAAAAAUAUCUUUCGUAUUUAUAAAUAUUGAGAAGGAGGGGAAGUAUCGAUGAUGGUGUGGCGAUCCCUUUAUCGUGUGGCACGUGACGUCGGAUCAAAUAUUUCUCGACGUGCUCUUUUUUUUCUCACGAGCCUACCACCUUUGACCAGGACGAAAGCCCGUGACGAACGAGCCGUGAAAAUGCCGAGUAGUUAUAUGCAAACUGUGCUGCAUUACGACACCGAGAUGUGUAUAUUUAGCUGACGAUUUCCUGGCUGGAUUCACCCUUUCGAUAGUUGUCCAACCAUAACUCGAAAGUACCAUAAUCAGUGCGAAUUCAUGACAAGUUUGGCUUUCGAGAUUCAAAGUUCGAUUUUCAACAAAUGAUAUCUGUUUUAAGAGAAUUUAUUUGUCUUUACCAUUAAUCUGUAUACAAUACAAUAAUCUUAAUACAUACACUGGCAAAUAUAUUUUUUCACAUUUCUUUCAGAAGUAGAUUGUUUAUGCACAAGACUAAUUUUAUUACUGUGUUAGGCUUUAAGAACACUCUGAGAAGGAAAGAUUAUCUGACACGAUUAAAUGAUGAAAGAAACACACGUUAUUAAACUAGAUUGAUCUUAAUUGUCUCGUUUCGCGAUAUGUAUUUAUCGGCAGUAAAAUCUUCAUUAGAGCUACUUUAUAUUCCUAAAAGUCACAGUUUUCUCAUAAAUUUCACGAUCAACGAAAGUGUACGACUUGAUAAUUAGUUUCUUUUCGUUUCAAGCUGAUCAUAGAGCGAAACAAAGGCAGAAAACGGUAAUAGAUAGAGAAAAAUGGGUACGAAGACACACGAACUCAAUUAUUGCGUCGAGUAAUUGCGAAUGGCAGCUGCUGAGCGACCAACAAAUUAGUCUGAAUUCACUUUUACGGUAUCGGUUAAUUUCUGAACGGACGUGGUCAACAACCAUAAACGCUCAGGAAAAAGCAGAAGAAACGAGAAACUUGUACUUGCGUGUUAACAAAAUAUCUACCUGCACGUAACAUUCUUUUGUCUUAAUGACUUUCCAAAUACUCAUUCGUGCUCGGUAAAUUUUUAUAUCCUAAUUGAAAUUUGAAAAUAAAAAUGCUAAUGUACGACUAGUGACUUCUAAUUAGUUUUGAUUAGAAUGUAACGUGUGAUAAUAUGUAAGACAUAAAUUAAGCCUCAAAUAUUUUUAUAGUCAAUGAUAAACAUGGUAAUCGAUAAAUUUUUAGAUCCUAAUUGAGGUUUAAAAUGAAAUGGUAAUUUAUGUGUGUGUAGUAAUUUCUAGUUCAUUCUGAUUAGAAUAUUACGUCAAUAUUAACUUCCAAUUAAUUCCAAUUAGGACGUACCAUUGGUGAUAAAAUGCAAGACCUUAACCAAUUAUAAGAUUUGAAAGAUUUGUAUAAUCACAUAUAAGGAAUCAAUAGAUCCUCACUAAGAUUUAAAAUGAAAAUGCAAUGACAAAUAAGGAGGCAAAACGCGGAGACCGAUGAUGGUCGCAAUAAGUGGCGGCGUAACGAACAGGACGGCAAUUUUCCGGACUGGACGAUUAAGACGGAGCAACGAGAUAUAUGUGGCGCGCAAUCCACUCGACGUUAAUAGGCGUGUACAAUUUAUAAUGCGCAUUGUGUGCGUAAUUAGAGGAAGAAUGGGCAGGAAGAAAUGGAUAACCAAUGCACAUGUGAAAGGAAAUGCUCGUUUCUCGUCACGACAGCGCAAUAGCAACAGCUUGUAACUGAGCACCGGUUAAUUACACUGUUUCGAGCAUCGAUCGAACGAGCUAUUGCCAUUCUUCCGCUCCUUAUCUAAAGCUGUUGUCAAAAAAUAAUUUACAAUCCAAUUAUUAUCGUGUUAAUAUUUGGAAUGACAAUUUUUUCAUACUUUGAAUAAACACCAAUAUCAAUAACGUUUACGAACGAAAGUAUGCUUUUCAAGAAUGCGUCACAGCCAUAUCCAACUUCCUACGCCAUCAUUAAUAUUCAUGAUCGGCUGUCAGUGCCAAGAAAGAAA